GGAAUCUCUCUUAUCUUUCAGUGUUGGACAAAAUUCUCAUACAAAAGCGUAAUUGAUGACAGAGAGUAUGAGUGCCUUGACAACCUUAAUUAGCAAAGAUGGGCCAAUGAGCGAACGCUUGCAUGCUAGAAUUAAUCCAAGAAACUUAAGUGUAGGAGAACAUGAAAUAUUUACAUUGUUGAAUGAAAUCGGUGGAAAAUGACAAUUAUGUUUUUUACAAAUGUGGA